CCUACGGGUGGCAGCAGUGAGGAAUAUUGGUCAAUGGCCGAGAGGCUGAACCAGCCAAGUCGCGUGAGGGAAGACGGCCCUACGGGUUGUAAACCUCUUUUGUCGGGGAGCAAAGCGAGUCACGUGUGACUCCUUGAGAGUACCCGACGAACAAGCAUCGGCUAACUCCGUGCCAGCAGCCGCGGUAAUACGGAGGAUGCGAGCGUUAUCCGGAUUUAUUGGGUUUAAAGGGUGCGCAGGCGGAGGUGCAAGUCAGCGGUAAAAUUGCGGGGCUCAACCCCGUACUGCCGUUGAAACUGGAUGCCUUGAGUGCGGGAGAAGUAGGCGGAAUGCGUGGUGUAGCGGUGAAAUGCAUAGAUAUCACGCAGAACUCCGAUUGCGAAGGCAGCAUACCGGAGCGCAACUGACGCUCAUGCACGAAAGCGUGGGUAUCGAACAGGAUUAGAUACCCCGGUAGUC
rnacentral:rRNA from 1 species